CAGCCAACUACUAGCUAACCCUAAUAAUGUCCCUAAUUGGCUGCAGCUCAUCUGUCUUAACAGGCCUCGAACACUUCACUGCGCAGGUAUCCCACAGCGGCUAACCCACUACAUCUCCUGCGUCAGACUUCUCCCCGUAGAGAGAGACGCUGUCCCUACACUGUCCCUAUAUAGUAGUUUUAGUAGUUGUCUGUUUGAAGUGGUGGGACUGAAG